AAUAUAACCUCACAACUUUGAUCUCACUUAUUACAAUCUAUUAGUUCCCACAUACGACCUUGCUAGUAUCAGUUUACUUAGGCAUACGAAAUAAACGCAUUCCAGUGAUCCCGGUCACGCGUCAUCGCCUGCGCAUCGCGGUUUCCUGACUGCGAGCGACACUGCGAGCCUGCGACGCCGGCCGGCCCCACUUGCACCCCACGUCACUGCACGCAGUCUACGCGUGGCAGAGCAUCAGCUGAUCAACAAAGCGAGGAGCGUAUCCGACUGGAGCAAGCCCGUCAAGACUUCUGGAAGAGGUGGUCAAUGGAGUACGUGGCCGAGCUGCAGCAGCGCACGAAAUGGAAGGUGCGAUGCAGAGACCUCAAGGUUGAUGACCUAGUCCUGAUUAAGGACGAGAGCGCACCGCCGCUAUGCUGGCGCCUUGGACGAAUAUCCAGACUCUUCCCCGGCUCUGAUGGAGUGCCGCGAGUCGCAGACGUCUCUACAUCCCAAGGCAUCGUUCGAAGGGCCAUGAACCGCCUAUGUCUACUGCCGUCGCCGAAUGAAGACAGCGAAGAACUCCUGAAAGCUACCUAGCUUUCAAGCCCCGGAGGAUGUCUAUGACAGACAGCUUCACAUCACUAUCGUUCAAUCUCAUUCGGUCCGCGCGCGCGUUCACUCCUCCAUUCACUGUAUCCCUCUCUCGCCUAUCAGCCACCGAAACGGCUUGACGUGCCGGCCGGCACGUUAACUCACAAAUUAUUUCAAUGUAAUAUUGUCCAAAGUACAAUAAAUUCUCAAACUCAAGAA